UACGUAGGGGGCAAGCGUUGUCCGGAAUUAUUGGGCGUAAAGCGCGCGCAGGCGGUCAUUUAAGUCUGGUGUUUAAUCCUGGGGCUCAACCCCGGGUCGCACUGGAAACUGGGUGGCUUGAGUACAGAAGAGGAGAGUGGAAUUCCACGUGUAGCGGUGAAAUGCGUAGAUAUCGGAAGGAACAUCAGUGGCGAAAGCGACUUCCUGGACCAGUACCGACGUUCAGGCACGAAAGCGUGGGGAGCAAACAGG
rnacentral:rRNA from 1 species